UGCUUAUUAUCGCUUUUACUUAAAUGACGGAGUCAAGAACGCACCAUAUGGAUCUUUCCUGCUGUGGGUUAUGCUUUUUCGAUAGUUUUUUCUUGAAUCUGUUUGAUAGUAUUCUAAACACAGCAAGAACAAUGUAUGGUUCGGGUAUUGACUUUUGUUUAUGAACUUGCUCCUGGAAUUAACUAAAGAUUGUGUACUGUUUGGCAAUUCUCUUUUUCCCUUUCUCAAUCCAUAUCAUAAUUCAUAAAUACCACGCGGUCCUGUG
rnacentral:lncRNA from 1 species